rnacentral:lncRNA from 10 species
UGUGGCUUGAACUGGGCUUGAGCAGUGGGAAGGAUUUGGAGAGCGGAGGAAUGAAGGAGAGCAGAGAGGAGAGGCUUGGAGAAAAAUGAGAAGUCUCUCCAGCCCCAAUGACGGCAAGCACCCUGGAGCUGAGGGGGCUGAGUGGCGGCUGUGCCCUUUGGACAGAUCAUUCUCCUCUGGGUCUCUGCUCACAGACCUUCCAUCAAGAAAUUCACUACAGUGUGUUGGAACAGUCUAUGUACCUGACUACCACACAAGGUCUCUUCUCAGAUUUAUUUUUCUCUUUUUUCCCUCCCACUGGGGACAAAUAGCUUCCAUUCCUGAAGGGAAGUUGCCUGCUUGGAGAUGGACAGAGGAAGAUAUUUGGGUUCAGCUUAUCCCCUCUGGGCACUUUGGGGGAAGCAGCAUGGGUUGGGGCAGGAGAACUCUAAUGUGUAUGUGUUAAUAAACUUACUGUUUUCUAAAAUUUUGUCAAAGGUAUGCAUGUUUAUAGUUUAAAGAGGUGAAGAGUUCCAUGUGGCCUACUGUAUUUUUCCUUCCUUGUAUAACUUUUAUUUUCCUAGGAGCUAAUAACUAUCUUGUUCUUUUGUUUGCUUGCCUUUCUCUGUACUUAUCACUAAUUCAACUCCAGAGUCUUUACUGAUUGCCUAUUCCAAUAUUUUCACCCACAUCAGGUGCUCUAUCAAUUUCAUUGUCCUGAAGAGUUUCCCUGACAGCCUUCUGACCUGG